AAAAAAAAAAAAAGACUGGAAGGAGCCAUGUCCCUGUUUCACAGCAGUAUCAGAAGUAUCUCUAUCACACCUAAGGAAAUUUUUUCCAAGUGGUUCUUGGACAAGUCUUCCUUUUUCCAUAUGGAGUCCAUUACAUUUGCUUCUAUUGCUGGUGGAGUUUUUUCUUCUGUCUCCAAAAUAUAUGUUAUUUAUUCUGGUAUUUUCAGGAAAUGGAAGCUGGGUUGAACACUCUAAUACUACUUCUUUGUGGAAAGCCAAAAUCAAAGAAAACACUUUCUAUGUCUGACUGUGGGAUCUGAAAAUAAUGUCUCCUAAUAAUGUUUUUCAUUCCUGGAGAAAGGAAUUUCAUCAUCUCAGGCAGGCUGCUAGGAAAGACCAAGCUCCAUUCUACUGAAGAAAAUACCAAGGACAGAGGAUGUUCAGUUGCUAAGAAACUGAGAGCAGCUUUGAGAGGUAAGGUGAUCUUUCCAGCAUUUAUGAUCCAGUUCUUCAGGAGUCUUAAAUACAAGACUUUAAAUGUUCAGUUUUGUGCCAAUGGGGAUAACUGAAAAUGAGAAUGAUAUCUGUACUACAAUCAGUUUUUUGGUCAUCACUGGUGAAAGUGAUGGUAAUGAUGAAGUGAAGGUAAUAAUGGUGACUGUGAUGAAAAAAAGCAUUUUGUAGCUGAGAAUUUGCUCUAUGAAAUAAUGUUUUUGUGCUCUUUGUAUCUGUUGCAGUUCCUGUGGAAAUAAACAGGAGAUAUUACUUUUGGAGCGAACAAUGUGGUAUAGUUCUUAUUUAAAAUAACUGCUCUUCAAUUGUUUCUAGUUAGAAACAUGCAGUGAUGAUCAAUGUGUUACUUUGCCAAUCAUUUAAUAAACAUUCUCAACGUAAUCUUAAAUGAAUAAAUGACUACUGAAAUGGCUAGAGCAAAUGUCAUCAAUCAAUCUCAUAUACCCAAUAUGUAAGCUGUUUCAUUGGAGUAAAACAUAUGGUUGUAGUUUA